rnacentral:rRNA from 1 species
CCUACGUGGGGCAGCAGUGGGGAAUAUUGGACAAUGGGGGGAACCCUGAUCCAGCGACGCCGCGUGAGUGAAGAAGUAUUUCGGUAUGUAAAGCUCUAUCAGCAGGGAAGAAAGAAAUGACGGUACCUGACUAAGAAGCCCCGGCUAACUACGUGCCAGCAGCCGCGGUAAUACGUAGGGGGCAAGCGUUAUCCGGAUUUACUGGGUGUAAAGGGAGCGUAGACGGCGAUGCAAGUCUGAAGUGAAAGGCGGGGGCCCAACCCCCGGACUGCUUUGGAAACUGUAUGGCUGGAGUGCAGGAGAGGUAAGUGGAAUUCCUAGUGUAGCGGUGAAAUGCAUAGAUAUUAGGAGGAACACCAGUGGCGAAGGCGGCUUACUGGACUGUAACUGACGUUGAGGCUCGAAAGCGUGGGGAGCAAACAGGAUUAGAUACCCCAGUAGUC